rnacentral:misc_RNA from 1 species
AUCAACUUGUUUCAUACAACAUGAUAUUGUAAUUUCUAUUAUGGAGUGAUAUAAUUUUUUAUUAUUAUAACAUAAAUGAUAUUUCAUUAAAUGAAAUAGGAUUAUAAAUGAUCAAACCUAUUAAAAUAAAGUUACAUAAAACUCCAACUAAUUAAGUCCAGGAAAAGGUCCAAACCCUAACAAUCCUGAAUCUCAUGGCUAAAUAAGUAGGACUUAAUAAAUCAAGCUUCACGGUCGCCAAUGCCGACUUCAUCUUCACUAGCAAACUCUUCACUAGUCUUCCAAAAGAAAUCUGCUGGUAGCUUGAACAACAAGAGGAAGAUCAUCAACAUCAGAAGGAGAUUAAAAAUACCUCACUCAACACACAGAUGUUGUCCUUGCUCAACACAUGCACGCCCAGAAAAGGAGGAGAAAAUGUAGCAAACCGUAGGAGAAUCUGGGACUGUUGGACAAAUCCAGAAAAAUGCGUGUCAAGGUGACCAGAUCGAUACCCACAUUUGAAGUUGCCAACCAUUACCUGUUCCGAUAAGCUUCAUAGCAAAUAAAAAGGGAAGUCACCUCCAAGAAAUAGAGUUUUCUUACAACAACCUAAUAAAACUCCAUCCAAAUGAGGGGUAUAAGGAUUUCAUAACUAGAGACCGAGAAAACGCUAGAAAGAAAACAAAAAGAAAACAACCAAUAGAUUAAAACACUAUCUAAAGAAAUGGGGUAGGGGAGUUGACAGCCAAAGCAGUUGGACCUCCUCUUUAGAUUGAAUUAUAAUGAAG